AGCAUUAGUAACGGGUCUAACGGCUAGUCCCCGAGGAGCCCCUCGUGACCCCCUUUAGUACCAGGUGGAGGCUUCACCCAGUACUAAAGGUCACAAAUUAGUACUGGUCGAAGCCUCUAAUCGGUACUAAUAUGCCUGAGGGCCUUUAGUACGGAGUGGAGGCUUCACCUGUACUAAAUCGCAACCUCCCCUCACGCGUCAUCAGCCCCCCUUCUCUCUCUCACCCCACCAUGCUCAUCCCCC
rnacentral:lncRNA from 1 species